rnacentral:misc_RNA from 1 species
GAUGAAGAACGCAGCGAAAUGCGAUAAGUAGUGUGAAUUGCAGAAUUCAGUGAAUCAUCGAAUCUUUGAACGCACAUUGCGCCCUUUGUUAUUCCUUAGGGCAUGCCUGUUCGAGCGUCAUUUGAAACCUCAAGCUCAGCUUGGUGCUGGGUGUCUGUCCCCGCCUCACCGCGGGGACUCGCCUCAAAAUCAUUGGCGGCCGGUACGUUGGCUUCGAGCGCAGCAGAAACGCGAACUCGAGGCCCGGCGGAUCGGCGACCAGAAGUCACUUCUUCACAGUUUGACCUCGGAUCAGGUAGGGAUACCCGCUGAACUUAAGCAUAUCAAUAAGCGGAGGA